AGGAAUCUAAACUACUAUCAGUAAGAUAAGAAAUUCUGAUAAGUCGGAAGCUCAACACAACAGCCAACCUGAAGACCAAUACCAAACAUACAUAAAGAGAAUAACUAGCAACAGAAAGGUUCAAAUCAAUUCGAAAAGUUGAAGACUUGUGAACAGCAAGAGAUUGAUGUUCAAAGCAUCUUCAAGAACUAUGAGGACAAUUCACAAAUUCCAUCUCACAAUCAAAAGGUCUAAAGAGUAUAACCUAAACCUAUUCCAUAGACCAAGCUCAUGAACUUGCCUUCUCCGAUUCAACAUCAGAACCAGCUCCUUUUUCCACCUUGCUAGCGGCAACCUCCUCUGUGCCAACACGAGUCAAACCAAGCUCAUCCAUGAGUUUGCCCCAAGCCUUCAACAGAUCAGGAGGGAACUUUUUAUUCAUAGUCCGAACCAUAGCUUUAGCCUCAACCAUACGCUCCAUUUUGUGUAACCCUGUAACCAAAUACUUCAAUGUGUUGAAAUCGGGAAUCUUGCCCACCUUCACACUUUUCUUAAAGAUCUCAUACGCUUUCACAUACCGCCCUGCCUUACACAAAUAGAACACCAUAGUCCUAAAAGUGGUAGCAUUCGCCCUGCCUCCUUUCGCCUGCAACAGAUCUCCACAUACCUUCUCCGCUUCAUCCAUCAUACCAUUUACACAGUAGGAAGUGAUCAAAUAGUUGAAGCUUAUACAAUCAGGAUUUAUACCAGCGUUCUGCAUUUCCUCAAUCAUAGCUUUCAAAGCUUCUGGCUUAUCACGAAUUUGUGAAAGCUUCACAUUGUAAGACCCCGCAUCCAAUUUGAUCCCCUUUUCCUUCACCAUUUCAUCCCAAAAUGCUUCAGCCUCAUCAACCCUCCCAAUCUUAUACAACGCGAGUAAAAUUGUGCUAAAUGAUACCGCUCCAAUCUCAGCCCCCUUCUUCUCCAUUUCACAAAGCGUCUCCUUCGCCUUCUCAGGCGAUUCCAUCUCACAAUAAGCCUUAAUCAACAUUCCAUACGAAAAUUUAUCGGGCACCAAACCAAACUUUUCCGGAAAUUCAUUGAAAUAAAGAGGCACGCGAUCAUAAGCCUUGGAGUUAAUACAAGCUUUGAGGAGAGCAUUGAAGGAUAGAGUCGAGCGAGGGGUACCGAAAUCAGUCAUCUGAUUGUAAGUAGUGAGCGCAUUGUCGAUCAUUCCGGCGACGCCGUAAGAUUUGAUGAGAGAGGAGACGAAGGGCUCCUCGGUGAUUUGGGGAUUGGAUUUGAGGGAUUCGAGGAAGGCCUCGAUGUCGGAGAAACGGUGGGAUUUGGCAAGGCGGCGGACCGCCAGCACCUGGAUGUGGCGGGCGGAGGCCGGUGGGGCGGCGGCGUCAUCGGCGCCUGCGAAGGAGGAGUAGACUUUGAUUGCCUCGUCGGGAUCGUAUACUUUUCAAGCCGCUUCUUAGCUUCAGAGAUGUUUGCGAAUUUGGCGGUGGCAGGCUCGGCGGCGGCGGCGGCGAUGGUUGAGAGGUGGCGCGCACGGCGAAGAGCGAGGUAGAGGACAUUGUAAUUUAGGGUUUUUGAGUAAAGUGAGAUAAAAUGGGUGAGGGUUUAAGGAUUGAAGCAGCAGCAGCUAACACUCACCUCUCCCCAAAUACAAAUCCUUUAAAAUAAUCAACAUUUUAAUUAGGCAAAAGGUUCGAAUACCCCAAGUUUCCAAGUUUUUCAGUUCCCGUUUGAGUUUCGUUUAAUGAAUGUGGUAGAUUAGUAUGUUCGAGGAUAAUUAAAUAAUUUAUAGAUGAUAAAUAUUUAUUUAAUUAGAUUAUUAAAAUAUUGAUUGAAUUAUAUAAAUCAAACACUUAUGUCUUAUUAUUUUAAUUAGAUUAUUAAAAUAUUGAUUGAAUUAUUAUUAAGUUGAAUCAUUUUUAUCAAGAAUGUUAUUGUUUAAGUUAAAUGUCUUCUAAAUAUGUUAAUAUUGAAGUUAGGAUUAUUCUUACAUUAUAGUUCGAAUUUUGAUUGUAUAGGAUUUUCUACUUCAAUAUUAAGAAUAUUAACUCCAUGUUUGAUUUAAUGGAUAAGACGGUAUUAGCAAAUGUAUAUGCCCAUAAAUGGGUGUUUGAAAUCCUGUUAACAUAUUUCUAAUGGCCCGGAAAAGAUGAAGGGCCCGGCCUUAAGUUACUGUGCAAAUUGAAUUACACAACCGACGCCCCCCCUCCGAUUCAUUUUCUGGCCUUUGAGAUUGAAAUCCCUCUCCCCAAAUUACCCUUCAUUUUUGUCUCAAAAAUUCGGCAGAUAGAGAAUUUCCCCCCUCCCCCCACAUUUUCGAAGCACUCAUUUCCGCCGACCCCUAAUCUAUCGAAGAACACUACUCCGCACAGAAUCAACACACGGUAUGUAUGAAUAUCAGAAUCCCAUUUUGAAUCGGCAAAUCCUUGUUCCCUUUCUUUUUUCGUAGACGUUGUAGCUGUUUUUUUAAUUUCUUGUUUACACACAAAAUUAUUGUACCUAUAGUUUUCGCCAUCCUACAACUCGGUUGGGGAAUAUGUGUUUUCAAUAUUACAAGAUUCUAUAAAGUUGAAUCUCUCAUUUUUAAAUUCAAUUCUUGUGGAGAACGCUGGUCCAAUGUCAAAUAAUUAAGGGACUUUUAUGUCUUUCUUAUUAAUUAUCUAGGACACGUAAUUGGAUAUCAAAUACCAAUAUUGAGUGACUAAUAUAUUUUAUUAACAUAUCAAACACAAAAACAUGAUUAAUAAUAUCCACUAAUCUAGGAAAGGUAUCCAUUAAAAAAUAAGGAGCUUUAUUCAUUGUCCAUUUAGUGGGAUGAGUGAAAAAAAUCGGCCAACUCAUGCUAAUGUAUGAUUUGUCAAAAAAUUUGACAAAAAAUAUAAAUUAUAUUUAUAAUAUUUAUAAAUUCAGGUAAGUUUACCAUGAGAUCAGAGUUUAGUAAUAAUGUCUCAUUAUUUGAGUUAAGCUCACUAUUAAUAAUAUUUUAAAUAAUUAAUUUUUCUUAAAAAUAUAUGAAAUAUUACUAGUGGAAUGUUCGAAUAUAGUAAUUGGAACAUUAUUAAUGUGACAGAGGGAAGUAAUAAUAUUGACUUUUCAAGGUUAAUAGCAGUUUAUGACAUCAAUUUUGAUUUAUUUUUUUUUACUUAUUUACCAUCAUUUUUAAUUUAUUUCAAAAUAUUUAAAACUUAACAAAUUUGUUUAAUUUUGUUUUGUACUAAAAGUUUCGGCAUCAAAUAUUUGAUUAGGUUUAUCAUAAAAUAUGAUUCUUACGUCGCAACUUCAUUCUUUGAACACUUUAAUCCGAGAAGCAUUAUGGGAUAUCCGACGUAGAAAUCUUUUCAAGUAGGCUAAAAUUUACAAAAUAUAGGAUAUUUAAAAUAAAAUAAAAUAAAAUCGAAAGCAUAAACUUAAACAGAAGUAAAAAUUAAGUUCAUCAACUGUUAUUAACCCCGAUACUAAUUUAUUACUCCACUAAAAACUUAGAAAACUGGUCAUAGCUAGGAAUAGACUAUUAUGGAUGGAGCAAGCAUGAACAACAACGAUAAGAUAAAUUCAACGUAAUGAUUUAAUGAACUCUUUUCUAAUAAAAAUAAAAAUAAAGCCAAUGUAUAAUAGUAAUAAAAAUUUGCAGUAAAUAUCAUAAUUUAUGCAUUGAGUAAACUCUAUUCUCAUAAUAUACGCCACAAAUUUGAUUUAUUUAUUGAAAAGUGCAGACAAAAUAUCAUCAAGAGACAAAAGAAUGGUACGGUAGGACUCCCAUACCCUAAUCCUAUCCUUAUCCCGAGCCGCGUAAUCCAGCCUCGUCACCGCAUUGAACAGAUCGGCGUAGAGCUUCCUCAGCCUCGGCCGCUCCGCCGACGCCGACGCCUGAAUCAUCGUAUACACGUCUUGUUUGAGAGCGCCGAGCUCCUACGCAGCAGUUUCUGCGCCUCCCUCCACGACUCCGCCGCCAGCAGAUCCUUCACUCCGAUCAGGCUUUGCGCGUGGGACCGAAUCCCGGACUCCGCUUCUUCCACGGUCUGGUCCGGCACCGUCAGCCGGAAAUCGAAUGCGGAGGCGGAUUUUGUGUGCUGCGUCCAGAGGAGGACGGAGGUGAGUAGUAUGGAUGACCGUCUGUGCGGCGGUGGUGGAGGAGGGUUUGGUGAGGGGAUAGGAGUGUGUGGAGGAAGGAUGAUGGAGCUGCUGCUGCUGCUGCCAUUUGGUUUUGAGGGAAUUUCAAAGCGUUCAUUGCUCAGGAUUUUUUAUUCAUUUUGAUCUUCUAUAUAUUUUUAAAGGUCAAUUGUUAGAAAUAAGCCAUGUGAUUUUGUUAUUUUUAUAUUCUUAUACAAGGUAUAUAUUUAAAAUAGUCAUUUUAUUUAAAUAGAAAUCAAUUAUAGUCAUAAAAGUUACUCCUACUAAACACGCUUACUAAAAUACUAUUUUUAUUAGUAUUUUAUUUUAUUUUGAAAUUUACCAAUAAUUUAAAAUUGGGUUAAUAAGCAAAAACACCCCUAACGUUACCACCCCAACUACACUUAAGUCCCUAGCCUAACGUUGAUAGCAACUAACACCUCAAAGUUCAUUAAGUACUACAAUUAAAAUCACUAGUGUGUAACCCGUCGAAAUUCGACGGGGAAUAUUUCGACGGGAAACCACUUUACAUUGUAAUUAUAAUUAUAUAUUUUUAAAAUUGAUUGGCAAAAUUUAAGAUCAUGUCUUAUAUAUAAACAUCAACUCAUUCGAAUCUUAAAAAAAAUUUGAGCAUUAUCUUGUCUAUAACUUGAAAUAUCACUUGUACAUCGAACUUUAAAUCAUUAUUUUAUCUGAAGCUUGUUAUAUAAAAUUUGACUUAUAAGUAUCAUCUCAUCUACAACUUAAACGAUAAAACCUGACUUGUCAGCAUUAUCUCAUUUGGAGCUCACAAUACUAUAAUUGACUUGUGAGUAUCAUCUCGUGUGGAGUUUGAAAGACUAUAACUGACUCGUGAGUUUAAUCUUGUCCAUAGUUUGAUAGACCGGAGUUGAGUUCUAAGCAUCACUCAUUUGGAGCUUGAAAGACCGGAGUUAAGUGCUAAGCAUUAUAUCAUUUGAAGCUUCAAUGGCGGAAAUUAAGUUACGAGUAUCAUUUCGUUUGGAGUUUGACAAGUCACUUCUAAUUUGUGAGAAUCAUAUUGUUUGGAGGUAAAAUACUCGUAAGGCCAUAACUCACUUGUGAGCAUCAUCUCGCGUGGAGUCUUGAAAGACCAUAACUGACUUGUAAGCAUCAUCUCGUCCAUAGUUUGAUAGACCAGAGCUGAGUUCUAAGCAUCACUCAUUUGGAGCUUGAAAGACCGGAGUUGAGUGCUAAUUAUUAUCUCAUUUGAAGUUUAAAGGAUCAGAAUUUAGUUAUGAGCAUCAUCUCGUUUGGAACUUGACAAACCACUUCUAACUUGUGAGCAUCAUAUUGUUUGGAGCCGAAAUUGAGUUUUGAGUAUAUCUCGUAUGAAGCUUGAUAUACUACCUCUGACUUUUUAACAUUAUCUUAUCUGGAGUUUGAAAGACUAAAAGUGAACUUUGAGAAUUAUCUCGUCUAGAGCUAUAAAAAAGCAUAUACCUAGCGAAAAUGUUUAUAAAUCAAUUAUUCAAUUUGUAUUGUUAUUAAUUUAAUACAAAAAUAAUUUUGCUACUUUGAAUAAAUAAAGACUUAUGUAGACAUGUCAAUAUGGAUUAGUUUUAAAUAUAUUAAGUCACAUUUUAUUAUACUUAAUUUAUUUUAUAUAUAAAUAUUAAUGUUUAGAAAAUCAUCUUAUGCUUAACAGACAAUUAGAAUUUUCAGCUUUCUCAAUGUUGGUACCGAGGUAAACUCGUCAUUUUUUAAAAAUAGAAUUAAAUAACUUAAAUUAAUUAGAGUUUUCACAUUUACGCUAAACUGAAUUUCACUCAAACCUAUAUCAAAUAAUUGAAUUUUUAAAUCCGAUUAUUGGUUAAACCAAGUAACAUAAUUGAAUUUUUAAGUAACAUAUUUCGUUCUGAAAAAAUCAGCAAUAAUUCGUACUGAAGUUGCUUGAUUUGAUCUUAUAAGAAAUAAUAAAAAUAAAUUAUUUGAUCUUUUCUAAAUAUAACUAUUUAUUUGGCCAACUAAACAUCAUCUUUAUAAUAAGAUAAUUUGGCUAAUUAAUUAAUUAAUUUGUUGGCCAAAUAAAUAGUUACUAUCAAAAUUUUAAUUUAACUUGACUAAUAAUAAUUUAGCCAAUAAUAAGUUUGUCAAACAAUAGAAGUCCAUAUAUUAGAACAAUGAAUUAAUAAAUGUAAUUUUUUUUUUAUAAAUUUUAAUACACUUAUCAUUGAUAGAAUGCGCUUAUCCAACAAAAAUGAAUAUGUAGGCUCUAAUUAAGAAGUGUGCAUAUAAUAUAGAACGACGAUUAAAUUUCCAUAUCAUGAUAUAAAAAAAUAAAAACUAAAAUAAUAUUUAAAAUUACCUCACAAUCUAUCAAAAACUUCAAUUAAAUUAAAUUUAUCAACUUGUACAUAAUAAUAGAAAGAGUCGCCUUAAUUUCUCAGUCAAACCUCAUACCCACCUAGACUUUAAAAAACAUUAUCUAUCCAGCACGAUGGUGAGUUCGUCAAGGGUCUCAUUCAUGGUUACAAAAUUCGACACAACAUUUAUUUUUAUUUUUCUAAAUAAUUAAUUCACAANNNNNNNNNNNNNNNNNNNNNNNNNNNNNNNNNNNNNNNNNNNNNNNNNNNNNNNNNNNNNNNNNNNNNNNNNNNNNNNNNNNNNNNNNNNNUAAAUAUGAAUUUUUUGUCCAAACCCCCUUUCCAGUAGAUAACAUCAUAAAAUCAAUAGUUAGUCAACCGAAAAGGGGAAAGUCCACAUAAAUUCUCAGAAAUGCCUAUUGAACUACUAAAAGAAGACUUGCACACAUAAAUAAGGAAUCUAAACUACUAUCAGUAAGAUAAGAAAUUCUGAUAAGUCGGAAGCUCAACACAACAGCCAACCUGAAGACCAAUACCAAACAUACAUAAAGAGAAUAACUAGCAACAGAAAGGUUCAAAUCAAUUCGAAAAGUUGAAGACUUGUGAACAGCAAGAGAUUGAUGUUCAAAGCAUCUUCAAGAACUAUGAGGACAAUUCACAAAUUCCAUCUCACAAUCAAAAGGUCUAAAGAGUAUAACCUAAACCUAUUCCAUAGACCAAGCUCAUGAACUUGCCUUCUCCGAUUCAACAUCAGAACCAGCUCCUUUUUCCACCUUGCUAGCGGCAACCUCCUCUGUGCCAACACGAGUCAAACCAAGCUCAUCCA
rnacentral:lncRNA from 1 species